rnacentral:rRNA from 1 species
AGUGAACGCUGGCGGCAUGCCUAACACAUGCAAGUCGAACGGCAGCACAGUAAGUGCUUGCCCUUACGGGUGGCGAGUGGCGGUCGGGUGAGGAAUACAUCGGAACCUACUUUUCCGGGGGGGAUAACGUAGGGAAAGUUACGCUAAUACCGCAUACGACCUACGGGUGAAGGCAGGGGAUAUUCGGACCUUUCGCGAUUGAAUGAGCCGAUGUCGGAUUAGCUAGUUGGCGGGGUAAAGGCCCACCAAGGCGACGACCCGUAGCUGGUCUGAGAGGAUGAUCGGCCACACUGGAACUGAGACACGGUCCAGACUCCUACGGGAGGCAGCAGUAGGGAAUAUUGGGCAAUGGGCGCAAGCCUGAUCCAGCCAUACCGCGUGGGUGAAGAAGGCCUUCGGGUUGUAAAGCCCUGUUGUUGGGAAAGAAAAGCAGCAGGUGAAUCCCCCGCUGUUCUGACGGUACCCAAAGAGUAAGCACCGGCUAACUUCGUG